rnacentral:rRNA from 1 species
UAGUUGCCAGCGGGUAAAGCCGGGAACUCUAGGGAGACUGCCGGUGCCAAACCGGAGGAAGGUGGGGAUGACGUCAAGUCAUCAUGCCCCUUAUGUCCAGGGCUGCACGCAUGCUACAAUGCGCGGCACACAAGGGCUGCGAUCCCGCAAGGGGGAGCGAAUCCCAAAAAGCCGCGCUCAGUUCGGAUCGGGGUCUGCAAGCCCGACCCCGUGAAGUCGGAGUCGCUAGUAAUCGCAGAUCAGCAAUGCUGCGGUGAAUACGUGCCCGGGCCUUGUACACACCGCCCGUCACACCACGAAAGUGGGCAACACCCGAAGCCGGUGGCCCAACCCCUUGGGGAGGGAGCCGUCGAAGGUGGGGCUCGCGAUUGGGGUGAAGUAGUANCAANGUAGCCGUACCGGANGGUGCGGCUGGAUCACCUCCUUUCUAANGAGCCACUCGGCACUCCGGUCUGGUCGAGCGUUCGUCUCGACGGCCGGCAGACUCCACGUCGGUGCACUGGCUACUCGGCAGGCUAGCUCGCU